rnacentral:lncRNA from 1 species
GUGCUGAGGGUGAGCGGGGAAAGGAAGAGAGAGGAAGAGAAGAAGGGCGACCAUUGGCACAGGGUGGAACGCUCCUAUGGCAAGUUUUGGAGACAAUUUAGGCUGCCUGAGAACGUGGACUUGGACACUGUGAAGGCUAAGCUUGAAGAUGGGGUGCUUACUUUGUCAUUGGCCAAGUUGUCUCCCGAUAAGAUUAAGGGUCCGAAGGUUGUCGACAUUGCUGGCGGAGAGGCUAAUGAAGCACCCAAGCUCGAGGGUAACGAUGCCAAGCAGGAGCUUUAAAUCCAUCCUUGAAUCGUUUUUCAUGGCUUUCAAAGCUUUUUCCAGCCUGUUUAUGUAGAUGAAUAUAUAUGAGAAAAUAAUUACUAAAAUUGAAUAAAAGUAUUAUCAAAAUUAUAAUAUAAGGUAAUGCAAGGUAAGAUAUUGGUGUACCUAAAAUUUAAUUUUCACGACGCUAUUAUGUUUUCGUAACUAAUCAUCUUUGUCUGCCCCUCUCUCUCAACGUUUGUUUUGUUAAAUGUGUUUAAAGAUAUUUCAACCUCGAUAUGCUACAAGGAGUCAGAAUCAUUUAUAUAUUAUAUAUAAUAUUAACUGUGUUUGGAUAAGAAAUUUAGAAAACAAAUUUUAUUUAUAUUUAAGUUUUUAAAAUUUUAAAAAUGUAUUUAUUUAUUUAGAUGAGGAAUUAAUGAGAUUUGAGUAGUUUAAUUUUUUUAAAUUUUUUUUAAUUUUUUUUAAUUUCUCAUAAUUUUAAUUUAUUUAAAGUAUACGAUUUCAUUAUUAAAUAAAAAAUUUAAAUUUCAAAAAUUAAUUUUAUUUAUUAUAAUAUAUAUUUUAUUAAAUAUAUUUAUAGUUUUUUACAAAUUUAAUAAACCCAUAUUAUGCUAUUUAUUUUUAAUAUUUUUUUUAAAUUUAUAAACUUCCAUUAACUUCAUUUUUUGUAAAAUAAUUAUUUAUCCAAGCAAAAUUAUUACAAUUCAAAAAUUUUAACAUGCUAGCUUUUUAAAAUAUCUAAAAUUUUAAAAUUGAUCUAAAUGAGUGAAAUUUGAAAGAAAAAUUUGAAUUCAUAUAAAUUCUAAAUUUUUUUCUUAUGUAUAUUUAAACAAAUAAAUUCACUCUUAGAAAAUUAAAAAUUUAGAUAAAAUUUAAACCCCUCCAUAUUAUAUAUAUAUAGGAGAGAUACAUUUAUAUCGGUGUAAACUUAUAGUAAUUUUACACAUUUCUAUAACUUUUUAUACUAUUAAUAUUUUUACAAUUUAAAUGUUCUAUUUCAUGUUCCAUUCAUGUAAAUUAUGCAUGUCAAAUUCAACAUAACUUUAAAAUUUCUAACUAUAGUUUAUAUAAAAAACUUUCAACCAUUCAAUAAAUAUUAAUAUAUAUAAUAUUUUGAAUCGGUAUAAUAGAGAUAUCGGAUCGAUUCAAAAAUUUACAUGUGUCAUAACGUUGCCUACAUAAUAGUACAAGGCCUAGUAAGCAAAGCUAGACACGGAGUGCCUAAAUUAACGUAGAGUGGCCACUAACCAAUUAGGGCUAGGUUGGUUAGCCACCUAUUGUCUAAAAGUCUAGAAUUAAUACUACAAAAAAUCCUAAAAGUCUAGACUUGAUCUCAUCACCAAAUUUCGGGUUUGAGAGUAAGGUUAUGUGUGGGGAAUGUUAUAUCACCCCCACAACGCCUAAGCUAGGUUUUUUAUUUAUUUAUUUAAGCAUAUUAAUGUCUUAAUCUAAGCUAAAAUCUUAUGGAAACCUUAAAUAAAAACUCUAAAGAAAAUAUCUUCGGUUUACUUGUAACUCAAUUAAGAUGUGUUCACCAAACUUAUCUAAUUUGAAACUUAAAUUAGAGAUUUUUAAUUUUAACGGGAACCCUAAAGGAUACCUAAAUAAUUCUAGUAAAAUACCUUCAAUUCCUAAAAUUGAUUCUAUUUUAGAAUUCUAAAAAAAAAACCCCUAGAAAUUACCAAUGAAUUAAGAGAAAUAUUAAAAUCCAUCUACAACUUAUUUGAUCUUUUAUUAUUAUUAUUUAAAAGAUUUAAUUAAUAAUGUUGAACCUAUCAAGAUCUUACAAAAGUAUCCUAUGCCGGGUUUAUGAUUUAUCUUACUUUAAAAUUCUUGAUCUAAGGUUUAAAUUCGUCAAAAUCCUAAAAUAACAUAUAUUAAGUAAUAUUUAUUAGCUUUCUUAAAAAGUUUCUAAAAUACAAUACUUAGAAAGACCUACUCAUGAUUUACAAUUUACCUACAAAAAACUUUUGUUUUAAUUUUGAAUAAAGUCCUAAAGAAUAUUUACAUAUUAAUUUAAGAUUCUAAUCCUAUACGAUAUUUAAAAUUAGUUUAAAACCCUACAAAAAUAUCUUACAUAUUAUUUAUAAUUUUUCUAGGGUAAAUGGUAGAUAAGAUCUUAAAGACUAACCUAAAUCCGAAUGUAAAAACCUUAUGGUUUCAUUAAAAUGUAACACCUACUUAACUAACUUCAUGUCAACAUUUAUGGGAUGGAAAAACAACCUAAAGUUCCCUCUUUUAAAAGGAAUAGUGAUAAAAUAGGAAAAUUAAUUAAAUUGGCUAAAGUUAAUGAAAACGAAUUAAACGAAUAGAAAAUAUAACACCCCUAACCUGUAUCCGUCACCGGAUCGGGGUUGCGAAGCAUUACUUAAUAUUAAGCUUAUUUCAAAAAUAAAUAACAAAUAAGAUAAUUUAAUUCAAUUAUCCAAACUAAUUAAACGAAAAAAAAUAAAAUAAAAUAAUGUACAUUUUAACAUUUCCAAAUUCAAUAGCCUAAACAAUUUAACUUUUCAUAAUUUCAUAAUCUCCAUAAAGUUUUUUUUACAUAAACAAACUCAGUCAUUGUACAUAAAUUGUUUAAUCAAUAGCACUUUAUGUUAAUAUAACCAAGCCUAUUUCAAUUAAAUACUAUAACUAACUAUGCUAUAUAAUUAAGUCAUAUAAUUAACGAAUUUAAUGACUCACCUAUUCGAAAAUAAAGAAAAAAAUACAAACACAUAAUAGCCAAUUUGAUACUUACCUAUAAAGCCGAUUAUAAAUGCAUAUAAUUUGAAUUUAUGCUUAGCCAAAUAUAAUUUGGUCAUUGAUUACACAUGUUAUAUAUAUAUAACAAGCUAUAGUCUAAUUCUUAACUAACCAAAAUAUGCACAUAUACAAGAAAAGAAACUUAUGCCAUAGCCAAACUUAUAAUUUACCAAAACCAAAUUAUACAAUAAAAGUACCUUAUACGUACUAAUAUCGAUUUACACAUAUAUCUCUUUUAACAACAUCCAAAAUAUUUUAACAGGUGUUCGGUAAUUAGCUCAUCUUGUAACCAAAUCAACUCACUCCCAAAUGUAAAACAAAUAUACAUGUUCUAAUUAUACAACCGAAUUACAUAUGUCCUAUUAUAUGUAUAUAAGUUAUCACUAUUACAUUAUACGCCCAAAACAAACCUAUUCAUACUAAUUAAAUUAUCUAUCAAAAACCAAUGUUUAAACAACAAAUCAUAUACCGGUUUAAAUGCAUAUAACCGAAUUAACCAUUUUCAUGCAUGUUCAUAAAUGCUCAAACAUAAUUCACUUCCCAAUUCCACAUUCCAUUUCAUUACCACAUUAAUCUAAGAUGCAAAACAAAUAUCACUUUUAUAACUCUCGGUCUCAUAUUAUAUUUUUAACAAGCCAAAUAUACUUAUAAGCAAAGUUCAUUAUUUAACAACCACCACCCCAUCACUAAUGUCAAACAUUUUGAUAAAUCACCAUUGUACAUAUAUAUAUAUAUCAUGUGGAUGCUAAAUUAAAAUGUGAAACAUUUUACUUAAUAUUUACUAUGACCAACCCAAACAUGCAUAUUCAACCAUCGCCUUAUUCCAAAAUAUUAUAAACUUCAAGGCCAACUUUAAUUAUCAAGUAUAUAUAUAUGUAUAUCAAUACUAAAACCACAUAUGCAAACACGUAAUUAUCUAUACAAAUAUCAUUUACCAAAGUUUUUAUUUCAUCACCUUAUAAAAAUGCAUUUCAUACCCCAUUUUAACAUAUAUACUUGCAUAUAAAAUCCAACUUCUCAAGUUUAACUUUUCAUUAGCAUUCAAGACCAAAUUCCACUCUACAAUAAUGUAUAUUUUCACCUAUAACCAUGUUAUAUAUAUAUUAAGCUCAUACCUAGCUCGAAUAAACCACACACACAACAUUCAUUUACCUUACAAUUUUCCUAUAAUAUCAAACCAGAACCAAAAUGUGCAUGGUCUUUAAUCCGAUCCAAAAUCGAGUAGAGCAAGCUAAUUAAGUCAUAUUCGCAUGACUUUAAUACAAAUAUACUCUCAAAAGAAACAAUUUCAAACUAGUCUAUACAUGUCAUAGUUUCAAGAAAAUUUUAGCUUAAAAUACCGUAAUUAUCCGAUAGUGUGAUAAGCUUUACUGACGAUCCCGAACUCGUAAUCACCUCAAAAUCUAUAAGACAAAAUAAACAAACACAAACGCAUACAGUAAGCAUUUUAAAGUUUAGUAAGUCAAUAGCAUAGAUAAAAUUUAACAAAUAAAAUAAAAGAGCAAUUAACUUAUUUAUAAGGAUAUUAUACAUCUCUUGGUUACACUUUCAAUUCCAUAUACCUUUCUAUUAAUCUAAACAUACCUUAAUUCAUUCAUAUAUAAAUAUAUAUAUAUAAGCCUUUGUUAUGGUAGCUUAGUUAUCAACUAAGCCAAUUUAUAUCUCUAAAUAAAAUUGAUAACUUAUAAUAUUACAAGCACUUAUGAUAUUUCAUUCCGAAUAGACAACUUACCUUAUUUCCAUUCAUUCAUUUAAUUAAUACAUACCUACAGAUAUAAUUCAUUCACAUGUCCGAUUACAUUUAAAAUUACAUUAACAAGAACUUUCUAAACACACGUUUUAAAUAAAUUCACCGGCACAUAGCCUACUAGGCUUAAAGUCUAAUUCCGUACAUCGGCAUUAAGCCUGCUAGACGUAUAGUCUGAAUAUUUCACCGGCAUUAAGCCUGCUAGACGUAUAGUCUAAAUAUUUCACCGGUAUUAAGCCUGCUAGGCAAAAGCCUGAAAAUCUCAAAUACAAAGACUAUCUUUCGUAUAGUUAUUUAUAAUUACAUAAGUCUUACUCAUUAACUGCAUAUUCGUAACAUUGAAUUAUAUUCAAUUCUUCAUAGUAAACUUACAUUCGGACCACAUAGGUAUAACUAAAAAAAAACAUUACAUUCAGCACAAAUGAUUUUGUAAUCUAUGUUCGAACCCCCUUAUGCCUAUAAAAUUCAUACAUUAAUUUUCCAGCUCAAGAACAUGAAUAUACGUAUAUAACUAUGUUCUAACCAUACGCACAAAAAUAUAUGUAAUUCAUAGUAUUUAAAUUUUAUUACAAGAACUUGUAAUAUACUUUAGAACUAUAUCUUUAACUUAUAACUUAAAUUCAAUCCAAAGAAUUAAGCCUUACAUUCAAAUUUACACAUCUAUGUAUAUUUAUUUCACUAUUUGUUUCAAAUCAUUGAAUUUAUAGCAUAUUUAGCUAACAUACAUGAAACGUAAAUCAUUAACAUCAACUUAUCAAUAUUAAUUCUUAUAUUCGGCUAUAAUAUAGGUAAAUUACAAGGUUUUAUUUAAUUUACACAUUUUAAGUUCUAACUUAUCAUAUGUAUGGUUUUAUUUAAUUUACACAUUUUAAGUUCUAACUUAUCAUAUGUAUGGUAAAUAAAUGUAUGUAUAUUCAAUUUAGCUAACAUUUACUUGCUAAUUUACUUACCUCGGAUGUCGGCGGACACAAUCGACAACUCGACUACUUUUGUUUUCCCCCGAUCCAAUUCCAUUUUCUUCGUUUCUUGAUCUAAACAUAUUCACAUUUAACAUUUUUAUUCAUCAAAACAUUCAAUUAAAUCCAAAAAAACAUAAAUAGGUAAAUUACCAUUUUGCCCCUAAUAUUUCACUUUUUUCAAUUUAGUUCAUUUUGCACAAAACACAAAAUACACAAAAUUUGCCCACACUAUGCUAGGGCUGAAUAUUCAUAUGCUUCAUACAAGUCCACACAUUUCAUUUAUUUCACAUUUUAGUCACUCAAAAAUUUAUUUUCACAAUUUUAACCCUAAUUACUCAAUUUCACCAAACAUUCAAAGACAAAACAUGUUAAUCCUUUACAUAUCUUUCAUAUUUCAUCAUCAACUAUCACAAAGCUCAAUCAUUCAUCAAUGGCAUAUCUCAAAAUCACCAUCAAAUUCUAAAAUCAAAGUAUGGGUAUUGUAGUACACAAAGCAACGAUCUCAAAAACGUAAAAAUUAUCAAAAACUGAAACCAAAACAUACCUUAAUUUUGCUAUGGAAGUGCCGAAACUUUAAAAAGCCAUGGAAGGUUUCUUCAUUUUCACUAUUCGGCUAAGAAAGAAGAAAUAUUCAUCUUUU